UACGAAGGGUGCAAGCGUUAAUCGGAAUUAUUGGGCGUAAAGGGUGCGUAGGCGGUUGUUUAAGUCUGUCGUGAAAUCCCCGGGCUCAACCUGGGAAUGGCGAUGGAUACUGGACAGCUAGAGUGUGUCAGAGGAUGGUGGAAUUCCCGGUGUAGCGGUGAAAUGCGUAGAGAUCGGGAGGAACAUCAGUGGCGAAGGCGGCCAUCUGGGACAACACUGACGCUGAAGCACGAAAGCGUGGGGAGCAAACAGG
rnacentral:rRNA from 1 species